rnacentral:rRNA from 1 species
UCCGGUGACUAUAGCGCAGGGGAAACACCCGAUCCCUUUCCGAACUCGGAAGUUAAGCCCUGCUGCGCCGAUGGUACUGUCCGCUUACGCAGGAUGGGAGAGUAGGUCGUCGCCGGAG